GAGAACUGAGGGGGGCUGCUCCUAGUACGAGAGGACCGGAGUGGACGCAUCACUGGUGUUCGGGUUGUCAUGCCAAUGGCACUGCCCGGUAGCUAAAUGCGGAAGAGAUAAGUGCUGAAAGCAUCUAAGCACGAAACUUGCCCCGAGAUGAGUUCUCCCUGAGACUUAGAGUCUCCUGAAGGAACGUUGAAGACGACGACGUUGAUAGGCCGGGUGUGUAAGCGCAGCGAUGCGUUGAGCUAACCGGUACUAAUGAACCGUGAGGCUUAACCUUACAACGCCGAAG
rnacentral:rRNA from 2 species